rnacentral:rRNA from 1 species
AUACGGAGGGUGCAUGCGUUACUCGGAAUCACUGGGCGUAAAGCGCGCGCAGGCGGUCUUUUAAGUUGGAUGUGAAAGCCUACGGCUCAACCGUAGAACUGCAUCCAAAACUAUUAGACUAGAGUGUGGGAGAGGAAGAUGGAAUUAGUUGUGUAGGGGUAAAAUCCGUAGAGAUAACUAGGAAUACCAAAAGCGAAGGCAAUCUUCUGGAACACUACUGACGCUGAGGCGCGAAAGCGUGGGGAGCAAACGGGAUUAGAAACCCUAGUAGUCC